CCUACGGGUGGCAGCAGUGGGGAAUAUUGCACAAUGGGGGAAACCCUGAUGCAGCGACGCCGCGUGAAGGAAGAAGUAUUUCGGUAUGUAAACUUCUAUCAGCAGGGAAGAAAAUGACGGUACCUGACUAAGAAGCCCCGGCUAACUACGUGCCAGCAGCCGCGGUAAUACGUAGGGGGCAAGCGUUAUCCGGAUUUACUGGGGUUAAAGGGUGCGUAGGCUGGUUGUUAAGUCAGCGGUAAAAGCCCGGGGCUCAACCCCGGCGAGCAGUUGAAACUGGCUGUCUUGAGAUGUCGAGAGGUAUGCGGAAUGCGCAGUGUAGCGGUGAAAUGCUUAGAUAUUGCGCAGAACUCCGAUUGCGAAGGCAGCAUACCGGCGGCGAUCUGACGCUGAGGCACGAAAGCGUGGGUAUCGAACAGGAUUAGAUACCCUUGUAGUC
rnacentral:rRNA from 1 species